rnacentral:rRNA from 1 species
CAUGAAGCUGGAAUUGCUAGUAAUCACAGGUCAGCAUACUGUGGUGAAUACGUUCCCGGGCCUUGUACACACCGCCCGUCACACCAUGAGAGUUUGUAACACCCAAAGCCGGUGGGGUAACCUUUUGGAGCCAGCCGUCUAAGGUGGGACAGAUGAUUGGGGUGAAGUCGUAACAAGGUAGC